GAUGAACGCUGGCGGCGUGCUUAACACAUGCAAGUCGAACGGACAAGAUGAAGCCUAGCGAUUCUUGUUAGUGGCGGACGGGUGAGUAACGCGUGGGUAACCUGCCUCAAACUGGGGGAUAACAGUUAGAAAUGACUGCUAAUACCGCAUAAGUGCACAGCUUCGCAUGAAGCACUGUAAAAAACUCCGGUGGUGUGAGAUGGACCCGCGUCUGAUUAGCUAGUUGGUGGGGUAACGGCCUACCAAGGCGACGAUCAGUAGCCGGCCUGAGAGGGUGAACGGCCACAUUGGGACUGAGACACGGCCCAAACUCCUACGGGAGGCAGCAGUGGGGAAUAUUGCACAAUGGGGGAAACCCUGAUGCAGCGACGCCGCGUGAGUGAAGAAGUAUUUCGGUAUGUAAAGCUCUAUCAGCAAGGAAGAAAAUGACGGUACUUGACUAAGAAGCCCCGGCUAACUACGUGCCAGCAGCCGCCGUAAUAC
rnacentral:rRNA from 1 species